CUAAGAAUUGAACUAAUUUAAGAAUCAAUAAAUUGUAAAUUUAUUUAGAAUUUAUGACUCGCCUUUUUUUUUGGC
rnacentral:tRNA from 1 species